rnacentral:rRNA from 1 species
GAUGAACGCUGGCGGCGUGCCUAAUACAUGCAAGUCGAGCGAACGGACGAGAAGCUUGCUUCUCUGAUGUUAGCGGCGGACGGGUGAGUAACACGUGGAUAACCUACCUAUAAGACUGGGAUAACUUCGGGAAACCGGAGCUAAUACCGGAUGAUAUUUUGAACCGCAUGGUUCAAUAGUGAAAGACGGUCUUGCUGUCACUUAUAGAUGGAUCCGCGCUGCAUUAGCUAGUUGGUAAGGUAACGGCUUAACAAGGCAACGAUGCAUAGCCGACCUGAGAGGGUGAUCGGCCACACUGGAACUGAGACACGGUCCAGACUCCUACGGGAGGCAGCAGUAGGGAAUCUUCCGCAAUGGGCGAAAGCCUGACGGAGCAACGCCGCGUGAGUGAUGAAGGUCUUCGGAUCGUAAAACCCUGUUAUUAGGGAAGAACAUAUGUGUAAGUAACUGUGCACAUCUUGACGGUACCUAAUCAGAAAGCCACGGCUAACUACGUG